AUGAGGAUCUUUUACUAUCUCCAUUUUCUGUGUUAUGUGACCUUCAUUCUACCAGCCACAUGUACCUUGGUGAAUGCUGAUCGUUGCACCAAACGUUACGGUCGUUGUAAAAGAGACUGUCUUGAGAGUGAAAAGCAAAUAGACAUAUGUUCCUUACCAAGAAAAAUUUGCUGCACUGAGAAAUUGUAUGAAGAAGAUGAUAUGUUUUGAAAAGAAAGGCAUACCUCUGAACAAAGAAGUUACAUGUGCACCA
rnacentral:lncRNA from 1 species